rnacentral:lncRNA from 1 species
CAUGUACUGUAAUAUCUACAAUUGCGCCCACCUUAUUUUCGUGCAGGUUUGCAAGCUAAGGAAGAAUGAAGGAUGCUACAUCGAUGUUCUGCAACGUUACAAGAGACGAUCGUCCACGUGUUUGCCAGCUAGCUGCUAUCAACCUUGGCGCACGUCCCUGCCGGUGUGUCACCGGAGUGCGCACUGCCAUGCUCCGAAGCGGCGUCGGGAUGCUACCACCUAUCACUCGUCAACUAUCUGCCUGGGAUGACCGUGCCGCCAGGUGAACAGUGGCUACUGGAACCAAAAGCACCAUGGAAGGCCACAUCAUCAUCGACGUCAACCGUCUCAUCGGCUAGAAAAGUGCUCCCACCACCAGCACCACCCUGUGGGCUCAGUGCACUUCAUUGCAGCCAUCUUUGUGAUGCAGUCUGUGGAGACGAGAGUUCCUGGACAUGGCCAUAUGACCCCCAAGAAAGAAACUGCGACCACAGACUGAUGAUGUUCAUGCCUGUUCCGACAAAGAGAGGCCUGCCUUAACCAGCUGGGUUUUCCGAAGUUUGCUCAUCACAGCUUGGGCCAUCCUGUGCCACAAGAAUAUGUUUCUGCAGCGACCGUGAAAGGCGCCCGCCCCCCACCAGUCCAACUCUGCAUUAGCACCUUUGUCCUGCAGUUUUUUACCAGCUGAGCUAACCAGGUUUCGUGCCUUGAAUUUCCUUGCAACGCACCUACUGUGGACACAUCGCAACUUUGUACCCUUCCAAAUGCGACCCGACCCGAGAAUUGGACGAAGCCGCCUAUUCUGGAUGAGCGCCCACUGAUCAGUUGGCAACUGGGGCCAUGUACAAUCACCCACUCUGCUAUCAGCAUUGGACUUGCACGGGAUAUAAGCUGCAACCAGACGUUUUCUUGGGGCACGACACCGCUUUCAGAAUGAAGCACUCACCCUGUCUUCCAUAUAGAGAUGGGCAUUGACAUGGCAGAGGGGCUUCCAGAGAGUCUGAAGCUGACGGAUCAUAUUGCCUUUCAAGAAAGAUGAGUGAUACGUACUGAUAUAGUUAUUCCCUGAAAUAAAAUGUGCAGGUGCUUUUGGUACUAACGAGGAGUUUG